GGGUCAUUAGGUUGGUCGUGCCACCGGUACGUACUGAUCUCACUGAUUCCUCCUUCCUGAAGAACCGUAAUGCCAUUAAUUUGGUGUUGCGGGGAAACAGGACUGUUACUUUGAAAAAAUUAGAGUGUUUAAAGCAAGCUAACGCUUGAAUACAUUAGCAUGGAAUAAUGAAAUAGGACGAUCGAUCCUAUUUUGUUGGUUUCUAGGAUUGACGUA
rnacentral:rRNA from 1 species